UGGCUCAGAUUGAACGCUGGCGGCAGGCUUAACACAUGCAAGUCGAGCGGAGUGAUGGUGCUUGCACUAUCACUUAGCGGCGGACGGGUGAGUAAUGCUUAGGAAUCUGCCUAUUAGUGGGGGACAACAUUUCGAAAGGAAUGCUAAUACCGCAUACGUCCUACGGGAGAAAGCAGGGGAUCUUCGGACCUUGCGCUAAUAGAUGAGCCUAAGUCGGAUUAGCUAGUUGGUGGGGUAAAGGCCUACCAAGGCGACGAUCUGUAGCGGGUCUGAGAGGAUGAUCCGCCACACUGGGACUGAGACACGGCCCAGACUCCUACGGGAGGCAGCAGUGGGGAAUAUUGGACAAUGGGCGCAAGCCUGAUCCAGCCAUGCCGCGUGUGUGAAGAAGGCCUUAUGGUUGUAAAGCACUUUAAGCGAGGAGGAGGCUACUGAAGUUAAUACCUUCAGAUAGUGGACGUUACUCGCAGAAUAAGCACCGGCUAACUCUGUGCCAGCAGCCGCGGUAAUACAGAGGGUGCAAGCGUUAAUCGGAUUUACUGGGCGUAAAGCGCGCGUAGGCGGCUAAUUAAGUCAAAUGUGAAAUCCCCGAGCUUAACUUGGGAAUUGCAUUCGAUACUGGUUAGCUAGAGUGUGGGAGAGGAUGGUAGAAUUCCAGGUGUAGCGGUGAAAUGCGUAGAGAUCUGGAGGAAUACCG
rnacentral:rRNA from 1 species